rnacentral:rRNA from 1 species
AUUGAACGCUGGCGGAAUGCUUUACACAUGCAAGUCGAACGGCAGCACGGGGCAACCUGGUGGCGAGUGGCGAACGGGUGAGUAAUACAUCGGAACGUGCCCAAUCGUGGGGGAUAACGUAGCGAAAGUUACGCUAAUACCGCAUACGAUCUACGGAUGAAAGCGGGGGAUCGCAAGACCUCGCGCGAAUGGAGCGGCCGAUGUCAGAUUAGGUAGUUGGUGGGGUAAGGCUCACCAAGCCGACGAUCUGUAGCUGGUCUGAGAGGACGACCAGCCACACUGGGACUGAGACACGGCCCAGACUCCUACGGGAGGCAGCAGUGGGGAAUUUUGGACAAUGGGCGCAAGCCUGAUCCAGCCAUUCCGCGUGCAGGAUGAAGGCCUUCGGGUUGUAAACUGCUUUUGUACGGAGCGAAAAGGCUCUCUCUAAUACAGGGGGCUCAUGACGGUACCGUAAGAAUAAGCACCGGCUAACUACGUGCCAGCCGCCGCAGUAAUAC